GAGUGUGUAGCUCAGCUGGAUAGAGCAACGGUCUUCUAAGCCGUGGGUCUGGGGUUCGAAUCCCUCCACGCUCA
rnacentral:tRNA from 1 species